UAAUUUAGCUGCUUUACAACAACAACCAUCGCUAGCCGGCAAGCUAUUUGACUUUAGCCAACUAAGUUAGCUCGUGGAAGCUAAUGAAACCACCACCCUGACCAAGACAUCACUUCGUUAAAACACGCGGCAGCAGAAUACAACGGACGCCUGUUAAAUUAACAUAAAAUGCUUGAAAACAUUAGCAAACGCUACGUGAUGAUGCCAUAUUCUUGCGCAAAGAAAAGACCCGCUUACCUUCCAAAAGGCGCUGGAUUAUACUGUCUAUGUUGAGCUUGUCUACAUCGGCCAUAGUUUGCUCGAUGGCGGUAGUAUAAAUAUAAUGAUCGGCUAGCCUACUAUAAUAAUAAUUGGAAAAAACUGCCCAGUGUUGAUUUCUUUACGUUUCUUCUCAUGUACGCUAAAGCUAGACAACCAGCGCCUCUCCACGCCUCAACUCGACUCGCUCCAGUUCUGUCGCUCUCCACCCUGGCCCUGCCCGUGUGCUGACUACCGAGACCGCCGGGUAGCGGAGUGAUAUGACAGGCCCAAAAUACAGAACGAAUUUCAUUGGAUGCAAUGAACUCCUGCCCUUGCAUUGUGACACUAAUCCCAGCACUGGCCAAAGUCCUGGGACAGGACAGCAUCGAUGAUGUCACCUACGUUCGUAAGAACACUGCACCAGGGCUUGCUUCAAACAGAGCCCUUUGUCUGUUUCUGCAUGUUGUAGACCAAAAAAACACGACAGAUGGGGGGCUUGCAUGCAGGCAGUGCAUUACCAAGGGUGAAAUUCACCAGUGGCUCCAGUCAUGAAUCCAGCGGGCAUGAAGGAGACGCCAGAGGGUGUUUUCAAGCGUUGCUGUUGCCAUCACAACACCCUUUGACCUAUGAAUUUCAAAUUGGCUACCAAUGUCACUCAGGGGAAUGUAUUCCUGUGGCUUCUGUAGCUUGGUUGCUUCUAUAUUGUGCCCCCAAAACCCCCAAAACCCAGACCCUGAAUGAGCCUCAUGCCUUUUCAAUGGUAGAGAUUACUAUGGGUGUAUGAUCAGCUGAACAGAGGUCAAUUUCAGUCAGCAGAGGUCUGGUUUUGUGUUGUGUCUUACCUCUGUGAGGGGGUGCUGAAACAAAAAGGAGUGACCAUGGUCUUCAAUGUGCCGCCCGUAAAAUAUUCUGUGUUAAAUCAGGCCUUAUGGAGUACAUUUGUUGCCUAACAGACUCCUACCUGUAUGUACUCUGUUUGAUCGGAUUGAACACAUUUUUACUGUGCACUUGAAACGAGUGUAAGCAUUUCAUGAUAAUCUCAAGAGUGACUAUUGUUAAAUUUGUAAAGAUCUUCGUAUUAUGUACCUACAUUAUUUUCUUUAUUUUGUAAGAAGAUAUGCAGAUCCUCAGAGAACAAAGUACAGCGAUGGCAUAAAUUGUACUGUACAUAACAGAAAAUAUCCAAAGUCCACCAGCCAUCUGUUAAAAUGUGCAAAAAAGAAAAAGUGAAUACAAUGUCUUGGCUGCUCACACCUUUUCAGGAUUUCUAAUACAAUUGCUUUAUUGGCAUGACAUACAAAUGUAAAUAUUGCCCAAGCAUAUAAUAAUAUUACAAUAAUAAUGUUAAAAUUAUAAUAGUGAUGGUGAUAAAUGUAACAAUAUACAUUCACCGAGCACUUUUUUUUAAGGUAUUUAGCCUAUCCACUUAGAGUUAUGAUGCGUUGUGUGUUCAAAGAUGGUCUUCUGCGUACCACUGUUGUCAUGUGUGUUCAUUUGCAUUAUUGUCACCUUCCUGUCAACUUUGACCAGUCUGGCCAUUCUCCUCUGAUAUCUCUCAUUAACAAGGCGUUUCAGUCUGCAGAACUUGUGCUCACUGGAUUUUUUGUUUUUGCUUUUUGCACCAUUCUUUGGAAACCCUAGUGUGCAUGAAAAUCCCAGGAGAUCAGCAGUUUCUGAGAUACUCAAACCGCCCUGUCUUUCCACAGUCAAAGUCACUUAGAUCAAAUUUUUUCCCCAUUCUGAUGGUUGAUGUGAACAUUAACUGAAA